CCUACGGGUGGCAGCAGUGGGGAAUAUUGGGCAAUGGGCGCAAGCCUGACCCAGCAACGCCGCGUGAAGGACGAAGGCUUUCUGGUUGUAAACUUCUUUUCUCAGGGACGAAGCAAGUGACGGUACCUGAGGAAUAAGCCACGGCUAACUACGUGCCAGCAGCCGCGGCAAUACGUAGGGGGCAAGCGUUAUCCGGAGUUGCUGGGUGUAAAGGGCGUGUAGGCGGGACUGCAAGUCAGAUGUGAAAACCACGGGCUCAACCUGUGGCCUGCAUUUGAAACUGUAGUUCUUGAGUACUGGAGAGGCAGACGGAAUUCCUAGUGUAGCGGUGAAAUGCGUAGAUAUUAGGAGGAACACCAGUGGCGAAGGCGGUCUGCUGGACAGCAACUGACGCUGAGGCGCGAAAGCGUGGGGAGCAAACAGGAUUAGAUACCCUUGUAGUC
rnacentral:rRNA from 1 species